rnacentral:rRNA from 1 species
GACGAACGCUGGCGGCGUGCCUAAUACAUGCAAGUCGAGCGAAGUUUUUCUGGUGCUUGCACCGGAAAAACUUAGCGGCGAACGGGUGAGUAACACGUAAAGAACCUGCCUCAUAGACUGGGACAACUAUUGGAAACGAUAGCUAAUACCGGAUAACAGCAUUAACUGCAUGGUUGAUGUUUAAAAGUUGGUUUUGCUAACACUAUGAGAUGGCUUUGCGGUGCAUUAGCUAGUUGGUGGGGUAAAGGCCUACCAAGGCGACGAUGCAUAGCCGACCUGAGAGGGUGAUCGGCCACACUGGGACUGAGACACGGCCCAGACUCCUACGGGAGGCAGCAGUAGGGAAUCUUCCGCAAUGGGCGAAAGCCUGACGGAGCAACGCCGCGUGAGUGAAGAAGGAUUUCGGUUCGUAAAGCUCUGUUGUUAGGGAAGAAUGAUUGUGUAGUAACUAUACACAGAGAGACGGACCUACCAA